rnacentral:SRP_RNA from 1 species
GCAGACCCCUCGUGCGGCGCCCAUCUCGCUGAACUCCCCCAGGGCCGGAAGGCAGCAAGGGCAGGCGGGCUCUGGGCGGGUGUGCGAGGGGUCCUACGU